GAAUAUUGGACAAUGGGCGGAAGCCUGAUCCAGCCAUGCCGCGUGAGUGAAGAAGGCCUUUUUUUUGUAAAGCACUUUUAGCGCGGAGGAGGACUUCUCGGUUAAUACCCAAGAUGCUUGGACGUUACUCGCACAAUAAGCACCGGCUACCCCUGUGCCCGCCGCCGCGGUAAUACAGAGGGUGCAAGCGUUAAUCGGAUUUACUGGGCGUAAAGCGCGCGUAGGUGGCCAAUUAAGUCAAAUGUGAAAUCCCCGAGCUUAACUUGGGAAUUGCAUUCGAUACUGGUUGGCUAGAGUAUGGGAGAGGAUGGUAGAAUUCCAGGUGUAGCGGUGAAAUGCGUAGAGAUCUGGAGGAAUACCGAUGGCGAAGGCAGCCAUCUGGCCUAAUACUGACACUGAGGUGCGAAAGCAUGGGGAGCAAACA
rnacentral:rRNA from 1 species